rnacentral:antisense_RNA from 1 species
GCCUAUGGGUGGGCAGGGGCGGGGAGACUUUCGAGUCUGCCGGGUCCUAUUGCCCUGGUUCGCCAACCCCGCUUACUGCCCGCCCACCCCG